CAAAAAAAUGUUUACAAUUUAAAUUAAUUUUCAUUCUUUUAGAUUUUGCCACUAGUAUCAGACUCAUUUUUUGCCUAAGGAUCAAAGGUUGAACCACGAAAUGGCAGAAACUAGACUCCCACCUGGUCGCAAAAGGCAAAAACUAUGGUGGAACGACUUUGAAGUACGAUAGAUAUCUAAAAAAUAAGUGCAUAAAGACCAAGGCAGAAUAUAAAAACUACUGGACUUUAUUUGAGAAAAUCAAACGAACUGCAAAAUCAAACUAUUAUAAAAAGCAACUUGAAAAGUGUCAAUUAAAUUCUAGGAAACCUUGGCAAGUCUUAAAUGAAAUAAUUGGAAAACCGAAAAUCAAUAAAUCUUUCUUUCCGAAAAUCUUACAUAUUAAAAAUAAAACUAUUACCAAUGAAAA